UACAGAGGUCCCGAGCGUUGUUCGGAUUCAUUGGGCGUAAAGGGUGCGUAGGCGGCGGGGCAAGUCUGAUGUGAAAUCCCGGGGCUCAACCCCGGAACUGCAUUGGAUACUGCCUUGCUUGAGUACUGGAGAGGGAACUGGAAUUUACGUUGUAGCAGUGAAAUGCGUAGAUAUUGGGAGGAACACCUGCGGCGAAGGCGGCUACCUGGACAGAAACUGACGCUGAGGCGCGAAAGCUAGGGGAGCGAACGGG
rnacentral:rRNA from 1 species